ensembl:snoRNA small nucleolar RNA U54
UGGCUAUGAGGAUAACCUUUAGAAUGAAUGGCAGUGAUAAUUUCAUACGCUAUUCUGAGCCAGCU